rnacentral:lncRNA from 1 species
GAACUCUCUAUUACCUUUAGGGUCUCAUUUAUUUAUCUUGAUGCUUCUCUUUUUAUUUGGAAAGUUCAGAGUUCCUCACUGGUUCCUGCCUCAGUCAUCCUUGGGUGUUGCUGGCCAUGAGCUAUAGAUGACUGCUUUCAAAAUUCUCAGACUUGAGCCACACACAAUUGAAAGCCAUUUCCAGUUGCUUAGACCAUGCUUUCUUGCUUGCUGCUGAAUGAUUAACCUGCAGGAUUUCACAGGGAGUCAUUCCGGACCUGGGGAGGACAGCAAGCUUUUGUGGAGGAAAGAAAGAAAAUAGGUGGUGAGAUCUGGGACUUAGGAGACUGUCACAAGGAACCAUAUCAUUAAGACUAUUGUCUGAAAUAUUUAAUGAUCCGUUUGCCACUAACUCAGCUUCCAUCUCCUGUGAAAUGAACAUCCCUUCUUAUUGUGGCUUAAAUGACACAGCUCUAGUUUGACUGACAGUGUUUUCUUUAUAGGGAAUUUAAAUGGCAUUCCUUUGGGCUUAGCUAAUAAGCUUCGGAGAAUUUUUUUUGUGUGUGUGUGUGUGAGAGAGAGAGAGAGAGAGAGAGUGUGUUUCUUGUGUUUGUUCUUUUUUUUCUUGGGUCCUUGGAAUGAAAUUCUUGUCAGAAUCAAGAACAUUUGGAAAAUGGAUUCCUGUUGUUCAUUCUUUUACCUCCCAUCAAAAAUAGACAAUCUCCUUGGAUAGGAAAACUUGCCAUAAUAAGAUCCACCCAUGCCAGAGAUUCAUCUUCUUUUGUAAGCAUGUCUUGUCUCUGUUUCAGUAUUUGUUGGUAGUUCAAGACCUUUUCUGCCAAAUGUUAUGAGAUUCAAAUAGAAACUGCCAAAAGCAAUGUUUGACAUGAGCCUAAAAGGACAUGUUGGAAACAUGGUCCUCCAUCUUUCCAUGGCAGAUGUUUAUUUUAAGGAAAGGGAAUAUAGAAUCAUUCAAGAGUUAUGCAUUUUAUUACAAAAUGCAUGUGUAUUUUUAAAUACUGAAAACUUAUGAGAGCCCAACAAACAAAGGUAAAAAUUCUUUAGUAAAGAAUUUACCAUCCAGAAAAAGAUAUGUAUGUACAGAUGACUUAUGUUAUUUGUGGCCUUAGCAUAAUUGCCUGGGAUGGGACACAAUCAUUUUGUAAGUGACCUGCGGUCUGGGCACAGGUGAGUGGAGAUGGAGAGAGUUGAGUGCACUGUGAGGGGUGCCAGGGACAUUUUACCAGGUCCCACAGCAGCCUCCUGGAGGGUGCAUUGUAAGCUGAUGCUGGAGGAGGCCUAUGGAUCAUUCAGGCACCGGGAGAAAGAUCAGGGAGGGGAAAGGUGUCCCAGGUAACAGGAACAGAAUGAACAAGGCUCCAUGGGUGAGAAGGCAGCAGGCCACAUAGACACAGCUGUAGCACCUCUGGCACCUCUGGCACCCUGGCUGCAGUGGGCAAUCCACAUAGUGAGUAAGAAGAGAUCUGAUUACAAAGUACCCAGCCUGCCAUGUGAACAAGAUGGAAAUUUCUCAUUUUUGUGUUUUGUUUUCCCUGCUUAAUGGUCUCUCCUCAGUUGUGAUCACAGCACAAACACUUAUUCAGAACAAGUGUUUGCAAGCCCAUGUGAGGUGCCAGAAACUGUGAACUCACAUGUAGUCAUCUAUGUGUCUGCACAGUGAGCUGGUGUGGCAGGAGUCUGGGGAGCUAGAGGAGAGGUAGAAGCUAUAAAUAUCAUGUCCCCUGUUUCCAUACAGUUCUUUUAAUAAUCAUCUGAAACAUCUCUCUAAUAAUCUAACCGAAGUUUUUGUAAAUAGGG